rnacentral:lncRNA from 1 species
AGAAUGAAGAUUCGACUUCGGCAGAAAUAUCUGCCGAACGUGCUCGGCAAAGUGAUAUUCUGCCGAAAUCUCGGCAGAAAAUUCAUUGUUCCAAUAUUCUCGGUUAAAUUUAACCGAUAGUUCGGCAGAUCUAAGCAAAAUGCCGAAGUUCGUCAGUUAAAUUUAACGAAAAUCUCGGCAUGUCCAAAAUCUACCGAGUUCGGCAAUUCAACUGUCAAAUUUGCUAGAAAGUGCCGAGCUGUUCGGUUAGAUGUUGAGGUAGCCAUAUUUGUUUUCGAUAUGAGUAGUGCUCACUGAACUAAGUUCCGGAACUUUGGAUAAAUCGGGAUUUAUACUUGAAUUUCUACAGGAUUUCUGCUUGGAUUUCUACUUGAAAGCUUUUACCAAGGAAAUGCAUGACGAUGGUGCUUGGUAGAAGUAUAGGAUUCAUUCUGGUUCAGAUUGUAUUAGAUUAUACAUAAAAAGAGCAAUAAAUAUAAAAAAGCAUGCA